UGGGGGAUAUUGCACAAUGGGCGAAAGCCUGAUGCAGCGACGCCGCGUGGGGGAUGAAGGCCUUCGGGUUGUAAACUUCUUUUGCUCUGAACAAGGCGCACCAUGGGGUGUGUUGAGUGUAGGGGUUGAUUAGCGCCGGCUAACUACGUGCCAGCAGCCGCGGUAAUACGUAGGGCGCGAGCGUUGUCCGGCAUUAUUGGGCGUAAAGGGCUUGUAGGUGGCUGGUUGCGUCUGUCGUGAAAGCUCAUGGCUUAACUGUGGGUUUGCGGUGGGUACGGGCUGGCUUGAGUGCAGUAGGGGAGGCUGGAAUUCCUGGUGUAGCGGUGGAAUGCGCAGAUAUCAGGAGGAAUACCGGUGGCGAAGGCGGGGCUCUGGGCUGUUACUGACACUGAGGAGCGAAAGCAUGGGGAGCGAACAGG
rnacentral:rRNA from 1 species